rnacentral:rRNA from 1 species
CCAGACUCCUACGGGAGGCAGCAGUGAGGAAUAUUGGUCAAUGGCCGGGAGGCUGAACCAGCCAAGUCGCGUGAGGGAAGACGGCCCUACGGGUUGUAAACCUCUUUUGUCAGGGAGCAAGGUGCAGGUCGGGACCUGCUGUGAGAGUACCCGGAGAAAAAGCAUCGGCUAACUCCGUGCCAGCAGCCGCGGUAAUACGGAGGAUGCGAGCGUUAUCCGGAUUUAUUGGGUUUAAAGGGUGCGUAGGCGGGCUGUUAAGUCAGCGGUCAAAUGUCGGGGCUCAACCCCGGCCUGCCGUUGAAACUGGCGGCCUCGAGUGGGCGAGAAGUAUGCGGAAUGCGUGGUGUAGCGGUGAAAUGCAUAGAUAUCACGCAGAACUCCGAUUGCGAAGGCAGCUUACUAAACUGUGACUGACAUUGAUGCUCGAAAGUGUGGGUAUCAAACAGGAUUAGAUACCCUGGUAGC